AGUAAAAAGAAAAAGAAAAGAAACCAGCGCGAAAGAAAGUCGGUGAGAAACGAAAGUGGCAGAUGUGAGGGUCGAAGAGAGUGAAGAAGAGUCAAGAGAGAGAAACCGGAAGUGAUCGACAACGACACGAGACUCGGGGCAGGAGGGAGGAGGAUGGAGGGUAACAAAACAAGAAGAAAGUGUCUAUCUUAGUAGACGAAAAUGCGAUUUUAAACGAGUCCCGUAUCAUGAUAUAAUGGAAACAGUUUCUUUUCUCUCACGUUAAUAUAACUCUGUUCGUUUUUUUUUUUUCAUGUUCUUCCCUUGUUCUCUCCACCUCUGCUACAAUUCCAUGCGACGCAAUUUUGUUACAGGAGAAAAGAGCAUAGGAAGAGGGCAGAGGGAGAAGGAGAGUACCAAAGAAUACUAAAUGAGAGGAGGGUGAGAGGCGAAACGACGGAGGAUAACGGAGGAUAAGACGAACAAAACUGAAGGGAACCGAAUCUUCGGCGAAGAGAAUGAGACACGUACGCACAGACAGCGAGGAAACAAGGCCAGAAAGAAAAUGAAGGAAACGUAAGUAACAACUAAAUAGAGGAAAGGCAGUGGUGCGUUACUUUGGUAUCUUAUAAUUGGUGUUUCGCACGGAUCAACUGAGGUGUCCGCGGGCAACGUAUCGUGGGCAGAAGACCGAACACAGUAUGGCUGACAUACGAUUUAAUUGUCCAUUCCGCUAUAACCGACCAUCGAUAACAAAGCACGAACGAGAGAGAGAGAGAGAGACAGAGA